GAGUUUGAUCCUGGCUCAGAUUGAACGCUGGCGGCAUGGCUAAAACAUGCAAGUCGAACGAUGUAGCAAUACAUAGUGGCGAAAGGGCGAGGAAUAGAUUCCUACAUACCUCGAGGUCGGGGAUACCCCGGAGAAAUCCGGAUCAAUACCCGAUGUGGUCGAGAGAUCAAAGGUUUACCGCCUUGAGAGUGGGGAAUCUCCUAUCAGCUAGUUGGUGAGGUAAUGGCUCACCAAGGCGAAGACGGGUAGCGGGUGUGAGAGCACGGCCCGCCGCAUCGAGACUGAGACACUGCUCGGACUCCUACGGGAGGCUGCAGUAACGAAUCUUCCGCAAUGCGCGAAAGCGUGACGGGGCAAUGCCGCGUGCAGGAUGAAGCCCCUCGGGGUGUAAACUGCUGUCAGGGUGCAGGAAAGACAUGACCAUACCCAAAGGAAGCACCGGCUAACUCUGUGCCAGCAGCCGCGGUAAUACAGAGGGUGCGAGCGUUAAUCGGAAUCACUGGGCUUAAAGGGUGCGUAGGCGGAUGCAUAGGCGCUUUGUGAAAUCCCACGGCUCAACCGUGGAAUUGCUUGGCGAACCAUGCGUCUUGAGGUUGGUAGAGGUCACUGGAACGAUAGGUGGAGCGGUGAAAUGCGUAGAUAUCUAUCGGAACGCCAAAGGUGAAGACAGGUGACUGGGCCAAAUCUGACGCUGAGGCACGAAAGCGUGGGGAGCAAACGGGAUUAGAUACCCCGGUAGUCCACGCUGUAACGAUGCAUACUUGGUCGGAGUGGUUUGACUCCUUCCGGC
rnacentral:rRNA from 1 species